rnacentral:rRNA from 1 species
CCCUUAGAUGUUCUGGGCCGCACGCGCGCUACACUGAUGCAUUCAACGAGUCUAAAACCUGCUCUGAUAGGGGUGGGUAAUCUUUUGGAUGUGCAUCGUGAUUGGGAUAGAUGAUUGCAAUUUUUCAUCUUCAACGAGGAAUGCCUAGUAAACGCAAGUCAUCAGCUUGCAUUGAUUACGUCCCUGCCCUUUGUACACACCGCCCGUCGCCCCUACCGAUUGAAUGAUCCGAUGAAUAUCAUGGAUUGAGGAUGCAAGUAGGUUCGCCUAUCUUCAUCUUCGAGAAGUGAAGUAAAUCUUAUCAUUUAGAGGAAGGAGAAGUCGUAACA